UGUAUUUAGAAUCUGUAAAAAUAAUA
rnacentral:piRNA from 1 species